rnacentral:rRNA from 1 species
UACAGAGGGUGCAAGCGUUAAUCGGAAUUACUGGGCGUAAAGCGUGCGCAGGCGGUUUUGUAAGCCAGAUGUGAAAUCCCCGGGCUUAACCUGGGAAUGGCAUUUGGGACUGCAAGGCUUGAGUUUGGCAGAGGAGACUGGAAUUCCUGGUGUAGCAGUGAAAUGCGUAGAUAUCAGGAGGAAUACCGAUGGCGAAGGCAGGUCUCUGGGCUAGAACUGACGCUCAUGCACGAAAGCGUGGGGAGCAAACAGG